GGGUUGCGAAUCUGUGAGUCAAAUGAUGAAAGGCUGGAGCACAGCAGCAGGCCUAUUCUAAUGAUUUAGAGAAAUCUGAUCUAUUUCUCUCUGGGGUAUUUUGUACCACAUUGAGAAUGCCAUGCUGGAUACGACUAGCUGAGAAGAGAGAAGAGCCACAAACUAUGUUUGUUCUUAAAAACAAAACAGUCAUCACAAAUAACUGCCCUUACAUCAUUUUGUUUCUCUGGGGACUGAUCCUGAUGCUACCCAUCCAAUUUUCAUGAAUAUUCCCUUUGAUUAAGGUAUGUCCACUCCUGGAGAGUUCUUGUCAAUCAAUGU